GCCUGGGUGGCUCAUUUGGUUGGGUGUCUGACUUCAGCUCAGUUCGUGGGUUCAAGCCCCACGUUGGGCU
rnacentral:tRNA from 1 species